UAGCUUGAAGAGUGCCUACCCCAGAACCUGACCAUAUAAGGCCUUCUUGUCUUGAGCUUUCAGACCCCCCAAACUGAGAGAAAUACCAUUUCUGUGUCUGUUGCUCCGCCCAGUGUACAGUAUUUUGCUGUGGAAGCGUAAACUAACACAAUAGCAGAGUAGUUCGUAUACUUGUGCUCUGGGAAUCACGUGAAAGCGUAAUAGUUCCUCGUUGGAAGCUGGCUCUCAGCAGAAGGUACCGAGACAACCUGAAGAACCCAGUUCCUGUUCUCCUCUAAGUGAUGCUGUUCACCCUCCUCCUACUGCGAGCCCCGCAUCCUUCCUCGUCCUUUCUCCAGUUCCCUCAACUGCUGGUUCAGCCUGGAAGAGACCGUCUCUGAUGACCUAUUAACUCUGGGAGCAGACUGAUGGAGCUUCCUCUGCCCUCCUCGGGCCCAGAAAACAGCCCUAACGUGCGGAUGAGAGCCCAGGCCGACCUCUGAUUGGGAGGGAGGCUUGGAGAGUUGCAAGCUGCUCCAUCAGCACGGAAGUAGGUGCCAGCGAGGGAGAGGAUGAGCCAGGCCAGCGUGGGGUCCGUAAGCGCAGCGAAGACGUAGAGUACAGAGACAGGAUCUCUCCCUAAGCCCAGAGCCCACAAGUUUGACUGGACUGGCCGGCCAGCAAGCCCUGCAGAUCGUUGCCCUCUGUCUCAUCUCAGCACUGGAAUUUGGGGUACACACCACCACUUCCCUUGGAUCUUCACAUCGGCCCUGGAAAUCCAAACUCAGCAGGAGCAGCAGCAGGAGCAGCAGCA
rnacentral:sRNA from 1 species